UACGAAGGGGGCUAGCGUUGCUCGGAAUCACUGGGCGUAAAGGGCGCGUAGGCGGCGUUUUAAGUCGGGGGUGAAAGCCUGUGGCUCAACCACAGAAUGGCCUUCGAUACUGGGACGCUUGAGUAUGGUAGAGGUUGGUGGAACUGCGAGCGUAGAGGUGAAAUUCGUAGAUAUUCGCAAGAACACCGGUGGCGAAGGCGGCCAACUGGACCAUUACUGACGCUGAGGCGCGAAAGCGUGGGGAGCAAACAGG
rnacentral:rRNA from 1 species